AGGUGUUCCCACCUCUCCCACCAAAGGUCUUCCCACCAAAGGUCUUCCCACCAAAGCCUUUUCCUCCACCACUUCCAGUCUACAAGAAGCCACUCCCACCUCCAGUUCCAAUCUACAAGCCAGAGCCAAAACCACCAGUCUUCAAGCCUCCUCCGGUCCCAAUCUACAAGAAGCCACUCCCACCUCCAGUUCCAAUCUACAAGCCAGAGCCAAAACCACCAGUCUUCAAGCCUCCUCCGGUCCCAAUCUACAAGCCAAAACCACCAGUCUUCAAGCCUCCUCCGAUCCCAAUCUACAAGAAGCCACUCCCACCUCCAGUUCCAAUCUACAAGCCAGAGCCAAAACCACCAGUCUUCAAGCCUCCUCCGGUCCCAAUCUACAAGAAGCCACUCCCACCUCCAGUUCCAAUCUACAAGCCAGAGCCAAAACCACCAGUUUUCAAGCCUCCUCCGGUCCCAAUCUACAAGCCAAAACCACCAGUCUUCAAGCCUCCUCCGGUCCCAAUCUAUAAGAAGCCACUCCCACCUCCAGUUCCAAUCUACAAGCCAGAGCCAAAACCACCAGUUUUCAAGCCUCCUCCGGUCCCAAUCUACAAGCCAAAACCACCAGUCUUCAAACCCCCUCCUGUUCCAGUCUACAAACCAAAGCCAAAACCACCAAUCUACAAGCCUCUCCCACCUCCUGUUCCCAUCUCCAAGCCUCUCCCUCCAAUCCCAAAGAUCCCUCCAUUUUAUAAGAAGCCAUUGCCCCCUCUUCCUAAGCUUCCCCCUCACCCCAAGAUUCCCCCAAUCUACAAGCCUAAACCACCAGUCUUCAAGCCCCCUCCCGUUCCAAUCUACAAACCAGAGCCAAAACCACCAAUCUACAAGCCUCUACCACCUCCCGUUCCCAUCUAUAAGCCUCUCCCUCCAAUCCCAAAGAUCCCUCCAUUUUACAAGAAGCCAUGCCCCCCUCUUCCUAAGCUUCCUCCUCUUCCUAAGCUUCCUC
rnacentral:lncRNA from 1 species